AUGGUUUCUAUCUCACAAGCCCA
rnacentral:siRNA from 1 species